CAUGUAUGUCAAUAAGUUAUUUAUAUUAUGUGGUUUUCCGGAAGGUUCUAUCACAAAUACUGGAUUAUUCUGGGAUUUUCGAGAAUCUUCUUUUUUUUAUUCAUGGUAAUACACGGAAGUUUUGGAACUUUCUAUAAUGCUUUAAAGGGAAGCUGUUUGAAAAGUUACCAGUUUGGAUAUUUAACAUUUGAUGAUAGAUUUACAUUAACAUUGUGGAUUUAAAUAUUUAUGUUUAAAUACAUGAUUUAUAUUCUUUGGCUAUGCUAAAAUUAGUUUGGAUUCUUUGAGAAAUUUGGAAUUAUUAUCAACUGGAUUUAAAUUUGACCAGGACAGGAUUUGAACUAUUCUUUCAUAUUAGAACUGGACUUUACAGCUAGUUCAUAUUUUCAAGUUCUCUGCAGUCUGAGCAAUAUGAGAAAUUCGACGCUAUUGUUUGCCAAAAUAGCAAUACUGGUUAUUGCUUUAGGAGCGGUGACAAGAUGUUCUGCAGCCGCUGUUUAGGGAAAAGGUACCUUAAAGGUUGGUGGAAUACAAGCGGAUAUAUCGGGUAAGAGCACUGGCAGUCUGGCAACAACAGUGCCUUUCAACAUGUGCCUUUAUCUAGCUGUCUUCGCAUUCCUUUUCAAAACUUUCUCAUUGUGUUAAAAUAUGGGACAUACUGGAAAUAUUCAAGACUUGCAGAUCCAUGAUAGACAUUAACUUUUAAAGUCCGAAUAUUCUGUGUAAAUUUCCAGGAGGAGUACUACCGUAUAGAAAACACGUUAAUUUAACAAUUUUUGUGACUGAAGUCUCUGAAUGGAUACAUCGAAUCUAUGUUUUAACAAAACAUGUGAUCCAAAACAGAUAAAGUUUUAUAAGACGAUUCUACAUCCGCUGUGACAUUUUUCACACUAAUUUUACUAUUUAGAUAAUUGAAAGAAAGCACACAGCAAUACAUGUUCACAAUUUGAAGGUAUUAUUUAAUCUGGAGUUAAAAAUUUAAAUCGAAAAUGGAAUUUAUGGUCUUCAGGGUCAGUGGUCUCUGUAUUAGUGUUUCAGAGCAAGUGGUUUCUUAUCUAUUCAUUCAUGUAUAUCUAUGAUUUUUUCCCUGAUAUCUUUGUUUUGUUAACUGUAUGCAUGCACAGAUGUAUGACAUGAUUACAAUAUUAACACAUUGUUCCUAUAUUUUGUGUCAUAUUUUUUUUUCAACAAAAUUAAAAAGUUUUAGUUUAAAAUAAACCAGUAAAGCUAAUGUGUAAGGUAUGUUUCAAUCCGUUUUCUGGUUUCACAAAAAAUCUUGAAUCUAAUAUAUUGAUGACACUGGGUCCGUGUUUAUUGGUGAUUCAAAAAUAUAUUUUUUGAAUUCUCGGGUAACAAUAAUGAUAUUAAAACAUACAUUAUGACAAGUGUAUGAAUGUAUAAUGUGAUAUCUGUGCUUAUUAAACUGAUAUAUCUUU